rnacentral:rRNA from 1 species
CCUACGGGGGGCUGCAGUGGGGAAUAUUGCACAAUGGGGGAAACCCUGAUGCAGCAACGCCGCGUGAGCGAAGAAGGCCUUCGGGUCGUAAAGCUCUGUCCUAAGGGAAGAAUUUUGACGGUACCUUAGGAGGAAGCCCCGGCUAACUACGUGCCAGCAGCCGCGGUAGUCGGUAGGGGGCAAGCGUUAUCCGAAAUCACUGGGCGUAAGGGGUGCGUAGGCGGCUAAGUAAGCGAGGGGUGAUAGGCUACGGCUCCACCGCAGUAAGCCUUAGGAAAUACUUAGCUUGAGUGCAGGAGAGAAGAGAGGAAAAAAGAGCAUACCGCUAAAGUGCGUAUGAAUAAGAAGGAACACCAGUAGCAAAGUGAACUCUCUGUACAUUACUGGACGUUGAGGCACGAAAGCGUGGUGGGUAAACAGAAUUAGAUCCGCGUGUAGAC